AUUGAACGCUGGCGGCAGGCCUAACACAUGCAAGUCGAGCGGAUGAGAGGAGCUUGCUCCUCGAGUCAGCGGCGGACGGGUGAGUAAUGCCUAGGAAUCUGCCCAGUAGUGGGGGACAACGUUUCGAAAGGAACGCUAAUACCGCAUACGUCCUACGGGAGAAAGUGGGGGAUCUUCGGACCUCACGCUAUUGGAUGAGCCUAGGUCGGAUUAGCUAGUUGGUAGGGUAAAGGCCUACCAAGGCGACGAUCCGUAACUGGUCUGAGAGGAUGAUCAGUCACACUGGAAAGAAGACACGGUCCAGACUCCUACGGGAGGCAGCAGUGGGGAAUAUUGGACAAUGGGCGCAAGCCUGAUCCAGCCAUGCCGCGUGUGUGAAGAAGGCCCUCGGGUCGUAAAGCACUUUAAGUUGGGAGGAAGGGCUUACAGCGAAUACCUGUGAGUUUUGACGUUACCGACAGAAUAAGCACCGGCUAACUUCGUGCCAGCAGCAGCCGCCG
rnacentral:rRNA from 1 species